rnacentral:rRNA from 1 species
GACGAACGCUGGCGGCGUGCCUAAUACAUGCAAGUCGAACGCUGAAGGAGGAGCUUGCUCUUCUGGAUGAGUUGCGAACGGGUGAGUAACGCGUAGGUAACCUGCCUGGUAGCGGGGGAUAACUAUUGGAAACGAUAGCUAAUACCGCAUAAGAGUAGAUGUUGCAUGACAUUUACUUAAAAGGUGCAAUUGCAUCACUACCAGAUGGACCUGCGUUGUAUUAGCUAGUUGGUGGGGUAACGGCUUACCAAGGCGACGAUACAUAGCCGACCUGAGAGGGGGAUCGGCCACACUGGGACUGAGACACGGCCCAGACUCCUACGGGAGGCAGCAGUAGGGAAUCUUCGGCAAUGGACGGAAGGCUGACCGAGCAACGCCGCGUGAGUGAAGAAGGGUUUCGGAUCGUAAAGCUCUGUUGUAAGAGAAGAACGAGUGUGAGAGUGGAAAGUUCACACUGUGACGGUAUCUUACCAGAAAGGGACGGCUAACUACGUG